CCUCCGCCUUCCGGAAAACUCGCUUGGCAUUUGCCGCCACCAAACAUAACCCUAACAACCCCAACCACCUCUAUUCCGAUGAUUCUGCUGCCGAAUCCAUCGGCGAUGACCCCCUUGCCGCUUCUAGCGGUCAGCUUAUUGUUGGCGUUGAGAGCCGUUACCGUGUCGUUUACCGCCUAGUCAAUGGAAUCUACGUGCUGGGCAUCACCACUGCC
rnacentral:misc_RNA from 1 species